GUGGAGCAGCUCCUCCCAAAGGAGCAACUGCAGUACUUUACCUUGCUCAACCACCCCAACAUCACGGUCACUGAGGAGGUCUUGUACUGGCAGGACCCUGACGAGUGUGGCUCACACUCCCUCUGCAUCAACACCCUGGACUCCUUCACCUGCGUGUGUCAGCCGGGUUACUAUGACCUCAGCCCCUUCCUCACCGCAGCCUGCCACGGUUCUCCUCUCACAGCGUGGUGCAGGCCAGCUCCUCGCGCCUCCUGCAGCUCAGCAUGGGCCUGUACAGCGACGCCUCCUCCCACGCCUACGCCGGCCCCGUGGAGCUGCCCCUCUUCGCGCGCCUGCACAUCCAGGACAGCCUGGCCUUCAAAAUGAGCCUGCAGCUGGAGGCCUGCUGGGCCACAGAGACCACCGACCCGCAGGAGGAGAGGAGGGCCUUUUACCUGAAGGAAGGCUGCCCCAGCAACAGAACCUUCCGCUGGCACCUCCAGGAUGGCUGGCCUCAGAGGAGAAGGUUUUCGGUUCAGAUGUUCACCGUGUCUGACCACGCCCAUGUCUACCUCCACUGCCUUACCCGCAUAUGCAGCCCGGACGAGGACUGCACCACGGAGACUCUGGGAUGAGAAAUGUGCAAGAUUGCCCCUGUGUACAUCUGUACAGAACUGCAGCGAAGGCCAAAAGGUGAAAAGAGAUCUACCAGACACACUGACGGCCAUCAUUUCAGCAGAGUUUAAUCAAACUGCUGUGUGAGUGUAUGAGGACUGCUGCCCUGAUCAUACUCUCUGUUGGCGGAGGACUGAUUGGCCUCCUUGUUCUGACUGCACUGGGUGUGCGUGCUGCACAGGUCCUAGCACAGCCAUAGACAAUAAAGAUCCAUGUACAC